rnacentral:rRNA from 1 species
AACGAACGCUGGCGGCAGGCUUAACACAUGCAAGUCGAGCGGGCAUAGCAAUAUGUCAGCGGCAGACGGGUGAGUAACGCGUGGGAAUCUACCCAACCCUACGGAAUAACGCAUGGAAACGUGUGCUAAUACCGUAUACGCCCUAACGGGGUAAGAUUUAUCGGGGAUGGAUGAGCCCGCGUUGGAUUAGCUAGUUGGUGGGGUAAAGGCCUACCAAGGCGACGAUCCAUAGCUGGUCUGAGAGGAUGAUCAGCCACAUUGGGACUGAGACACGGCCCAAGCUCCUAGGGGGGGCAGCAGUGGGGAAUAUUGGACAAUGGGCGAAAGCCUGAUCCGGCCAUGCCGCGUGAGUGAUGAAGGCCCUAGGGUUGUAAAGCUCUUUCACCGGAGAAGAUAAUGACGGUAUCCGGAGAAGAAGCCCCGGCUAACUUCGUGCCAGCCGCCGCGGUAA